rnacentral:rRNA from 1 species
GUGGGGAAUCUUGCGCAAUGGGCGAAAGCCUGACGCAGCCAUGCCGCGUGAAUGAUGAAGGUCUUAGGAUUGUAAAAUUCUUUCACCGGGGACGAUAAUGAUGGUACCCGGAGAAGAAGCUCCGGCUAACUUCGUGCCAGCAGCCGCGGUAAUACGAAGGGGGCUAGCGUUGCUCGGAAUUACUGGGCGUAAAGGGCGCGUAGGCGGACAGCUUAGUCAGAGGUGAAAGCCCAGGGCUCAACCUUGGAAUUGCCUUUGAUACUGGCUGUCUUGAGUUUGGGAGAGGUGAGUGGAACUCCGAGUGUAGAGGUGAAAUUCGUAGAUAUUCGGAAGAACACCAGUGGCGAAGGCGACUCACUGGCCCAAUACUGACGCUGAGGCGCGAAAGCGUGGGGAGCAAACAGGAUUAGAAACCCUGGUAGUCC